UACGGGGGGGGCAAGCGUUGUUCGGAAUUACUGGGCGUAAAGGGCUCGUAGGCGGCCAACUAAGUCAGACGUGAAAUCCCUCGGCUUAACCGGGGAACUGCAUCUGAUACUGGAUGGCUUGAGUUCGGGAGAGGGAUGCGGAAUUCCAGGUGUAGCGGUGAAAUGCGUAGAUAUCUGGAGGAACACCGGUGGCGAAGGCGGCUCCUGGCCUGUUCUUGACGCUGAGGCGCGAAAGCUAGGGGAGCAAACGGG
rnacentral:rRNA from 1 species